GGAUCAUUAGCGAGUUUACAGCUCCAAAACCCAUGUUUACGUGCCCUGAAGGUGCUGUCUCGGCGGGCGGGGGGUCGUCGACCCCCCACCGGCCGGCAUCCCACUGCCGCCCGCCGGCAGCACCAAAAACCCUUGUAAUUUGCAGCGUUACCUUCUGAAGAAACAAAAAAAAACAAGUUAAAACUUUCAACAACGGAUCUCUUGGCUCUGGCAUCGAUGAAGAACGCAGCGAAAUGCGAUAAGUAAUGCGAAUUGCAGAAUUCAGCGAGUCAUCGAAUCUUUGAACGCACAUUGCGCCCGGCGGCAAUCCGCCGGGCAUGCCUGUCCGAGCGUCAUUUCAACCCUCGAACCCCCCGUGGGAUCGGUGUUGAGGAUCUGCAGCGGCCCCCUCCCCCUCCGGGGAGGGGAUCCUGCAGGCCUCCAAAUUCAUCGGCGGACCCACCGACGGCUCCUGCGCAGUGGCACUGUUUCUCGCAGGGGACCGGCGGCGGCGCCCGGCCGCUAAAUACUCAACUGUCACAGUUUUGGUUGACCUCGGAUCAGGUAGGGUUACCCGCUGAACUUAAGCAUAUCAAUAAGCGGAGGAAAAGAAACCAACAGGGAUUGCCUCAGUAACGGCGAGUGAAGCGGCAACAGCUCAAAUUUGAAAUCUGGCCCCAGCGGUCCGAGUUGUAAUUUGCAGAGGAUGCUUUUGGCGAGGCGCCUUCCGAGUUCCCUGGAACGGGACGCCGUAGAGGGUGAGAGCCCC
rnacentral:rRNA from 1 species